AUCAACUUUCGAUGGUAGGAUAGAGGCCUACCAUGGGGGUAACGGGUAACGGGGUGUUAGGGCACGACACCGGAGAGGGAGCCUGAGAAACGGCUACCACAUCCAGGGAUGGCAGCAGGCGCGCAAAUUACCCAAUCCCGACACGGGGAGGUAGUGACAAUAAAUAACAAUACGGGGUUCUUUCGGAUUUCGUAAUUGGAAUGAGUACAAUUUAAAUCUCUUAACGAGGAACAAUUGGAGGGCAAGUCUGGUGCCAGCAGCCGCGGUAAUUCCAGCUCCAAUAGCGUAUAUUAAAGUUGCUGCAGUUAAAAAGCUCGUAGUUGAAUUUCGGGACCAAUAUGUCGGUCGUGCCUCGGUACGUACUGGCAUCGUUGGUUUCUCCCUUCUGACGAACCAUGAUGUCAUUUAUUUGGUGUCGUGGGGAAUCAGGACUGUUACUUUGAAAAAAUUAGAGUGUUUAAAGCAGGCUCACGCUUGAAUACAUUAGCAUGGAAUAAUGAAAUAGGACGUUUGAUUCUAUUUUGUUGGUUUCUAGGAUCGACGUAAUGAUUAAUAGGGAUAGUUGGGGGCAUUAGUAUUCAAUUGUCAGAGGUGAAAUUCUUGGAUUUAUUGAAGACUAACUACUGCGAAAGCAUUUGCCAAGGAUGUUUUCAUUAAUCAAGAACGAAAGUUAGGGGAUCGAAGACGAUCAGAUACCGUCGUAGUCUUAACCAUAAACUAUGCCGACUAGGGAUCGGAUGAUGUUAAUUUUUUGAUGACUCAUUCGGCGCCUUACGGGAAACCAAAGUGUUUGGGUUC
rnacentral:rRNA from 1 species